CCUACGGGCGACAGCAGUGGGGAAUAUUGCACAAUGGGCGAAACCCUGAUGCAGCAACGCCGCGUGCAGGAAGACGGUUUUCGGAUUGGAAACUUCUUUCAAUAGGGGAGAAAGGAGUGACGGUACCUAAGUAAGAAGCCCCGGCUAACUACGUGCCAGCAGCCGCGGUAAUACGUAGGGGGCAAGCGUUAUCCGGAAUUACUGGGUGUAAAGGGAGAGUAGGCGGCAAGGUAAGCGAUAUGUGAAAGCCUUAAGCUUAACUUAAGGAUGGCAUAACGAACUAGCUAGCUAGAGUACAGGGAAGGCAAGCGGAAUUCGUCGUGUAGCGGUGAAAUGCGUAGAUAUGAGGAAGAACACCAGUUGCGAAGGCGGCUUUCUGGACUGAAACUGACGCUGAGGCUCGAAAGCGUGGGGAGCGAACAGGAUUAGAUACCCUUGUAGUC
rnacentral:rRNA from 1 species